rnacentral:misc_RNA from 1 species
ACCGAUCUUCCUCCUCGUUUGAAUCAAAGGUUUCCACUGUCUUUACUCUUUGGAGGCGAUGGAAGUUACAUGGCUUCUUUUUCACUUCACAACGACAACAUUCUUACUAGUCUCAUGAGUCAGGUUCUACCACCUACAACAUGGUACCGCAUGGUUGCUGGCUUGAAUGCACAGUUACGGUUGGUUCGCCGUGGUCAGCUUAGAUCGACGUUUUUACCUGUUGUUAG